GGUUUUUGUUGAGUUGCUAACUUCCAGGUUAGCCUUUAGAAAUAUGUCUUUGUGUUUUCAGGUAUGAGAAAGCUAACAAUUUGGCUAACUAAAUUAGCAUAAUGCAAACGUAAACAUCUAAAUAUGCCAAAGACUACUUUAGAUUAGUUAGAAUAUGCUAUUGUGAUGAAACAAUUUCUGAUCAGGCAUUUAGGAAGAGGAGCUAAGGUGUGACUAGUUAGCUUUAGCAGUUAGCUGGUGCUGUGGCCUACUACACAAUUAUGCAAGCAAAAUGCCAUAUAUGGCUCUGGUGAUUGGCUAAAACCACUGUCUCUGGAACAGAGUUGCCAGUGAGUGAACAUGACAGCAUCACAUUUUUCACAGCCACAUGUGCUGUCUAAGAAACCACCAUUGAGACGAAUAUGAAUAGGAAUGCUACCGGAUAGCUCUAUCCAGUGAAGGGCUCCCCAUAAAAGAACUGCCAAUAAAAGAGCUCCGAGAUGAAAACAUAGCAUCAGCAGCAGGAAGGACACACCCAGAACUCUCUUUCCCAUUUGAACAGGAAAGCAAUGUCACCCAGGAGGCCAUGAACGUGUAAGUUGCGUUGCUGUCUAUGCAGGGUCAGAAAACUGUGGGAUUUCAUCAAAACUAUCUUAAUUUGUGUUCUGAAGAUGAAAGAACAUGAGAACAUGAGGUGCUAAUGCCAGACCCCAGGAGGGCGUAGACGGCCAGAAUGGGUGAGAAGAGGAAAACACUACCCAGGAUAAGCAGAGAUGGGCCUAG